GGGGCGUCGAGCGGGCUGUGUGCUUGCUUAGCGGCUGCCUGGUCCCGGGAGCUGGCCCAGGGCUCCACGCUCAUCUCGGUGGGGCUGGGAUCUCUGGUGCAGACAUACACACACGUAAAGAAAUCGCACGCAUGCAUGCAAACAAAUGGGCAGACACACAGAGAUGCGUUAAAACAAAACAACACAGGCAAAGCGUGAGGCGGCGUGGGACGAAUGAAUCGGCCUGGAGAGCAGACAGCUGGAGAGACAAAAGGAGUGUGGGAUGAAGGAAGGGCCGGCGUGAGGAGAGAGAUGGGACCCACAUGGCCACGCCUCCUGGACAUCAGCCACGCCUCCUGGACAUCAGCCACGCCUCCUCCUGCUGCUGCUGGCCAUUACUAUGGAGAUGGAGAAUCUGCCUGCAGAUGACAGCAUUUCCUACUGGAGGACACACUUAGACACAACAACGAACAACACAAUGUAUUUUUGAAACAGUUUAAAAAUGAAAACAGAAAACAGGUUGUGUUUGACCAGAUUCACACAUCGCUGUUCCUCAGUGUUCGGCUGUGGUUUUAACGUGGUCAGUUAUGUAUUUGUGCAAACACUGCCAUGCUUAAAACAUUGCAUCGCUACAUAAGAAACACAUCAGCUAGACUGAAACUUUAGCUGAUACUGGAAACUCCACUCGUGCUAAUGAUCAGGUUAGCUUUUUGAAGUUGUUCCACAUAAGCUGACGCUUGCUUAGGUAAACAAAGGAUUAAUUGAUUUGCAGCUAUCGGUGCACAGGGUUAUUGUUUGCUUAACAUGUGUUUGAAUGUGUGUUUUUUUUUAUUCCUAAAGGCCUUCAGCUUUACAUCACAUCUGGACAAAAGGACAGAGAUCUGUUGCCUUGUUGUGACACUUGAUAUCAGCAUGUGAAACUGAUACUUUUUAUGUUGUACAUGAAGAACACUUUUGGUAAUAAACAAUGUGAGCUUUU